GGAGCAGAAGGGGAGCAAGUGUCAGAGCACUCCAGGGAGGACGUGGAAUGUGUGCAGGAUCUGGUUGCAACAUCAGACAAAGACAUGACAGAGAAGCGUGAAUCAACCACUGAGCCCAGGAGAACCGGGGAGCAGGUGGAACCUGAAGGGAGAAAAAUCAGAACUUUUAGGAGAGUGUUCCCCCCAGACUACUUUACGUUGCCUGUCUGCCAGUCUGACCAGGAGACUACAUCGACUUCUGAAAGUGAAGAGUCCUCCAGCAGCUCAGAGGAGCUGUAGCCCUGAGGCACAGCGUGUGGAGAAAGGGGUGUCCCUGCUGCACUCACAGCUGGCCCGGGACCAGCAGGACCACCUGGAGAGCUGUGCAGGGAGCAGGCAGGACAUUCCUGUUGAGCCACAAGGUGCAGAAAGGACCUCCUUGCUUCCUCAACUUCUCACAGAGGAGCCAGGAUACAGCUGGAUGCAGUCAUAGGCUUAGUCAAUAGUUUAUGUUUAAGGAUAGUGUAGGUGUAAUUGAACCUCUAUACAACUGUGUUCCAUAGGAUGAAGGAUCUAUUUAUAGACAAAUAAAGAGUUUAUUAUG